UACGUAGGGUGCGAGCGUUGUUCGGAAUCAUUGGGCGUAAAGCGCGUGUAGGCGGCUAACUAAGUCUGGUGUGAAAUCCCGGGGCUUAACCCCGGAAGUGCAUUGGAUACUGGUUGGCUAGAGGGCGAGAGAGGGUGGUGGAAUUCCUGGUGUAGGGGUGAAAUCCGUAGAUAUCAGGAGGAACACCGGUAGCGAAGGCGGCUUCCUGGACCAAUACUGACGCUGAGGCGCGAAGGCGUGGGGAGCAAACAGG
rnacentral:rRNA from 1 species